AUUGAAUCUGUGCCGAGUGUAGGUGCUAUAUCGGAAAAUAUAUAUAUAUAUAUAUAUAAGAUAAAAUAAAUUUAUCGAUGGAGUUCGGAAAAUAUUUUGAAAAAUUGUUAUUGAUCUUGUUAUAGACGAACAGAAUUCGGAGAGAUUUGAUGGCGAAGAAUGGGUAUACUCCCGUUUUUUUGGGAAAAAAAAUCUACCGGAAGAUUACUGGAUGCAUUUUUUUGGAUUUUUAUAAAAGUAGAGCAUGUUUUUGGAUCUUUUCGGUAUGCCGAAGAACGGAAGAAUUGCUUUUUUAAUUUUUUUUUGUAUUUUUUCCCCUUAAUGUUCGGUUGCAUCGAAAGAAUUACGGUAUAAGUAACUGCACCGGUUACGUUAUUGAAUAAAAUGCCAUUAUAACACGAUUUAACUGAUAUUUCCUCGCUUAAUGCGUGAGUGGCAACUGUAAACAGUAUUAAAUUAUACUAUACGUUAGGAUUAUCAUCCUUUACCAACGUUAUCAUCAUCAAAAACACGAAAAAGAUGCCGGCUUUUAAAAAUUUCUUUAUUUUCUUUCCAGCCAGGAUGGCCGUCUGUGAAGCAACUAAAUAUGCAUAAUGAUAUGUAAAACGAACGUGUAUCGAACUACAAAUAUGUCUUUAUUUAUAGCGUAUGUUAAGAAUAACAUGGCUAUUCCGUACAGUGACAUUCGCUCUCUUUUUUUUUUUUUUACUACGCGGCAUGGUAGAAACUUUGAAAAAUAUAUCUAUGAAUCAGUUUAUAAUAUUGAUAGAAAUGCAAAUCGUGGUAGAAAAUAAUAGUAAAUAUAUAUUUGAAUAUAUUUUUUUUUCUUCCUUUUUUCCAUUUUGUUAUUCUGGUAUACUGUACGGUUUAUUUUCGAUAAAUCGAACUGAAAUUCGAGAUUCUCUGUACGUGUAACUAGAAACCGUGUCAAAUUUUAUUACGUUAUCAGAUCGUAUAGAGUAAAAAACAUGUAAAAAUAGAUAAUAAUUUUCAUGUUUCCUAAAGAAGUGUUAUUUUUGAUAUUUUUUUAAAAUAAAUUGACAAUUUAAAUUUGACAUUUUGAAACCAUUCUGCUGUAAUGUAAACAAGCAGUUGCGGAAGGAAUCAAUUGCCUAUAUUCGUAGCGUAUCUUCUAUUUUGGAACGGUUUAAAUAUGCCAUGAGAAUCAUUUUCAAUGUUAUAAUUUCUGUUAUAAUGUUGAAUGCCAUAAAGACCUAUCAAAUAAUUCCGUAGUUAUGAAGAGAAAAACCUCUGAAACAUCUGUACCUCUCCAUUUUUAAACGGAUGGAUAUAUAAAGUUAAUUAAUAUUAUUCUGGAUUCGACUUUAAUAUUGUGAUCAUUCUGCUAAAUUUGAUAAAAAUUGAUCAAUUAGUUCAAAAGUUAUUAGAGAAAAGGUUCAGAAUUUGAACGGCCCUCCAUUUUUAAAUGAUAUAAAAUAAGGUGUUAAUUUAUGUGCUUUCGAAAUAGCCAUCAAAGACUCCAUCAUCUUGCCGAAUUUUAUAAAAAUGUAGCAAAUAGUUCGGGAUAUAAUCAAGGGAUGAUCUUAGAUAUUUAAACGCCUGCCAUUUUUAAAUGGGUGAAGUUGUAAGAUUAAUUAGUAUUAUUUCAGAUUCGACUUUAAUAUUCUGACCAUUCUGCUAAAUUUGAUAAAAAUUGAUCAAUUAGUUCAAAAGUUAUUAGAGAAAAGGUUCAGAAUUUGAACGGCCCUCC
rnacentral:lncRNA from 1 species